GACGAACGCUGGCGGCGUGCCUAAUACAUGCAAGUCGAGCGCAGGAAAUCGACGGACCCCUUCGGGGGGAAGUCGACGGAAUGAGCGGCGGACGGGUGAGUAACACGUAAAGAACCUGCCCUCAGGUCUGGGAUAACCACGAGAAAUCGGGGCUAAUACCGGAUGGGUCAUCGGACCGCAUGGUCCGAGGAUGAAAGGCGCUUCGGCGUCGCCUGGGGAUGGCUUUGCGGUGCAUUAGCUAGUUGGUGGGGUAAUGGCCCACCAAGGCGACGAUGCAUAGCCGACCUGAGAGGGUGAUCGGCCACACUGGGACUGAGACACGGCCCAGACUCCUACGGGAGGCAGCAGUAGGGAAUCUUCCACAAUGGACGAAAGUCUGAUGGAGCAACGCCGCGUGAACGAUGAAGGCCUUCGGGUCGUAAAGUUCUGUUGUAAGGGAAGAACAAGUGCCGCAGGCAAUGGCGGCACCUUGACGGUACCUUGCGAGAAAGCCACGGCUAACUACGUG
rnacentral:rRNA from 1 species